UAUCUCUGUAGAGUCUGCAUAUCAAUAAGCGGAGGAAAAGAAACUAACUAGGAUUCCCUCAGUAACGGCGAGUGAAGCGGGAAGAGCUCAAAUUUGAAAUAUCUAUUCAAGGUUUUACCUUGACGAAUUGUAGUUUAAAGAAGUGUUUUCUGUUGGAGUUUUGGUAAAAGUUCUUUGGAAUAGGACAUCAUAGAGGGUGAGAAUCCCGUAUUUGACCAUUAUUUCCAGCUUUGUGAUACACUUUCAAAGAGUCGGAUUGUUUGGGAAUGCAGUCCAAAAUGGGUGGUAAAUUUCAUCUAAAGCUAAAUAUUGGCGAGAGACCGAUAGCGAACAAGUACCGUGAGGGAAAGAUGAAAAGAACUUUGAAAAGAGAGUUAAACAGUACGUGAAAUUGUCAAAAGGGAAGCGUUUGACACCAGUGUUGUUUCUACGAAAAUCAAUUUAUGAUGGCUUGAAAUGCUAAGCUUUAAGACUUUAUCCGCUUGUUGUUUAGUUUUCUUGUCUUUGUGAAUGCACUUUUCGUGGAACAAGUCAACAUCAAUUUCUUUUGCUGUGAAAGGGUAAGAGGAAGGUGGCUUCGGCUUCGGUUGAAGUGUUUAUAGCCCUUUAUCUCUGCAGUCGGAGAGAUUGAGGUCUGCAGCGUAGACUCUUCGGGGUUAGAUACGUCGGUGCUAAGCUAUAGCUUUUCAUAGACAACUUGUUGACUAUGUUUAGUCAUGUGGCUUACCCGCUGGCGCUAUUUUACCUACGCUUAGGAUGUUGAGUCAUCACACAUCUCU
rnacentral:rRNA from 1 species